AUUCCAGCUCCAAUAGCGUAUAUUAAAGUUGUUGCAGUUAAAAAGCUCGUAGUUGGAUUUCUGGCAGGAGCGACCGGUCCGCCGCAAGGUGUGCACUAGGUUGUCUCCAGUCAUCUUUGUGGGAACUGCCCUGGCAUUAGGUUGUCGGGGUUAGGGAACACAUCGUUUACUGUGAAAAAAUUAGAGUGUUUAAAGCAGGCUUAUGCCGUUGAAUACAUUAGCAUGGAAUAAUAAGAUAGGACUUUGGCGUCUAUUUUGUUGGUUUGCACACCAAGGUAAUGAUUAAUAGGGAUAGUUGGGGGUAUUCGUAUUUAAUUGUCAGAGGUGAAAUUCUUGGAUUUAUGAAAGACGAACUUCUGCGAAAGCAUUUACCAAAGAUGUUUUCAUUA
rnacentral:rRNA from 1 species